rnacentral:misc_RNA from 1 species
UUUAGCUAUUCUUGUAUCGCUCAGACUUCACUGUUUCAAAGGUUUUGUUGUGGGCUUCCGGCAGGCGCUCGCCGGGCAGGACCACCGGGGAGGUGACCACGACCGGUGAGGACUCCCCCACGCCCGGGGGCGGUGGGCUCGUCCUCGGCCUGCCAAAGCAACAGAGGUAUGUAUUCACGGGUUGGGAGUUUCGGGCCACGAGGACCCUUGCUCUUUAAUGAUCCCUCCGCAGGUUCACCUACGGAGA